rnacentral:rRNA from 1 species
GACGAACGCUGGCGGCGUGCCUAAUACAUGCAAGUCGAGCGAAGUUUUUCUGGUGCUUGCACCGGAAAAACUUAGCGGCGAACGGGUGAGUAACACGUAAAGAACCUGCCUCAUAGACUGGGACAACUAUUGGAAACGAUAGCUAAUACCGGAUAAUAGCAUUAACUGCAUGGUUGAUGUUUAAAAGUUGGUUUUGCUAACACUGUGAGAUGGCUUUGCGGUGCAUUAGCUAGUUGGUGGGGUAAAGGCCUACCAAGGCGACGAUGCAUAGCCGACCUGAGAGGGUGAUCGGCCACACUGGGACUGAGACACGGCCCAGACUCCUACGGGAGGCAGCAGUAGGGAAUCUUCCGCAAUGGGCGAAAGCCUGACGGAGCAACGCCGCGUGAGUGAAGAAGGAUUUCGGUUCGUAAAGCUCUGUUGUUAGGGAAGAAUGAUUGUGUAGUAACUAUACACAGUAGAGACGGUACCUAACCAGAAAGCCACGGCUAACUACGUG